UUAAAACUUUCCUAUAGAACAACUAUAAACUGUAUGCACAGUUUUCCCAAAAUAGGCCAAUUUGGUCAACUUUAUUUAGUUAACACCCUGUAAUAAAUAAACGUAUAACGAUCAAUUCUAUAUCUCGGAUUUUCUAGAACACUACUGAGUUUGUUUCUUUUUAAAAAUACUUAGUUAAUACGAGUUUAUUCAGCUUGUGUAAGCAAAUAGUAAUUUAUGGGCAUUUUUAUCACUUUUAUUUUCGAAUGGACACUAUUUUGUUAAUAAGUUUAGUUUAACAAGUGAUAUCGAAGUGCCGUUUUCACCAGUUUCUUUGGUUUUCUUCCCCGCUUUUAAUGACGUAAAAAAAUAUAUAUAGUUGCAUUUGAGUUUUUUGAAAUAAUCCGUCAGAAAGGGUUAGUCACAAGUCAACGCCCUCUAGCGGAUUUUAGGAAAAGUAAUUUGAAUUUUUUUUUUGGUUGAAAAAAUAAGGCAACAAUAGACUGAAAAAAAAAUAUGUUUAAAAAAAAUCGGUCCAGUCACAGCUGAUUUUCAGCUGUUUUCUUUAUUCAAGCUAAAAACGCCCCCCACCACUUUAUUUGGCAACUGACAGAAAUUUUUGUAGAAACUUUUUUGUGAGGAAAUCUUCCUAGAAUAUUAAUAUAAUAUUUUGAGGUGUACGUUAUUGGAGGUUUUUUGGCAAAAAUGCAAUUUUAAGAUUUAAAGAAGCUGUCGCGCCCUCUAGCGGUUGACCAAUGAACUUCAAAAUAAUUUCCAGCAUUUUUUUUUGGCCACUUUUACUAAAAAAUUUUUUUUUCAAGGCGCUACGACUAUUAGGGCCUGAGAUAUCGCCGAUGUCCAUUCUUAGUUGGCCACCCGGUACAUCAUUCAAGAAACAUCAAGAUGCAUAUCGGAAAGCAAGGGAGGAAUAUAAACAGGAUAGUGCUGCGAAAGAUGGUUUAUACUUUUCAGCUGACCUCCAGAAGGUUAUUAUGCUUCCUAGAUGCGAAAUGUUUAAAGAAAUGAUGAUGCCGAGAGUUAUUGCAUUCAACGAAACAUUUGUGCCAAUAGGGAAAUCUCAGGAAAAACCGUUUGCCUUUAUUUGGCAUGAAGGUGUAUCGGGAAGAUCCAGAGACGACAUUAUUUCAACUUUUUAUAAUUUUUUAUUAGCCGUGAGAAAAACUGGUGAUUAUUUUCUUUUUUAACAUAUAUAAUUAAUUCGAACGAAAUCAACCUAAAAACUUUGAAUUUAAAAUAUUUUCAGCCUGGGCAAACUUUUAUGUCUAGUGAUGCUUUUCAUCAUCAAGUUGAAUUAGCCUUAAAAAGAAAAAAAAAGUGUAUGAUUUCAAAGAUUUCAGCGAAUGUGUUACUUUAGCCAAUUCAAAAAAGGUAGUUGUCAAAGAAAUGAAUAUAAACAAUUUUUAUACUUUUUCGGAUUUAACCUCCCAAUAUAUACUAAAGAAAAUUAUCCCCAGACCCUAUUUACAAGAUAUGGUUUUUGUUCAGUUUGAAAGGGGAAAAAGAUCUUUGAAUUAUAAAACAUCUUUUUCAGAAGAUUUUCAGUCCUUGAAUUACCUAUUAGCCAAAUAUGAAACAGGGCUCUUACCUCACCCUAAUCAAAAAAUUUGUGAGAGGGGUAUAUCCAAAGAAAGAAAAAGUAACAUUUUAACUAAAAUUCAAGGGUUGAUUCCAGAAAAUCGUUUACCAUUCUGGGAAAACCUCGUAGAAGCUGAAACAAAAGUAGCUCUAGAUUGACUCAAAUUAACGAAAAUACUAUGUUUUAAAGAAUAAUAUUUUUUUGUAAUAAAAUAUGUUAUUUCUAAAGGCUUAAUAAAAUAUUUUGACAGA